rnacentral:lncRNA from 1 species
GCUGCGCACUUCGGUCUUUUACGUCGGCCUUCGCGAGCGUCUGGGCGGGUGGUAGGUGAGUGGGUAUUGCGGGCUAGUAUCCGAGCAAAAGAUGGUGGCGCAGGCCGAGUUAAGAGCUUUAAUCCUGUGAAGACAUCUUAGUGAAGAGUUUAGAGUGCUGAGAGUUGAAAGCUUGCACGUGGGAAACGUGCGGCCGGACUGCCACAUGUACUGAGGUUGAGUCGUGACGGCCACAGGCUCCGAGUUUUGGCGUGAGGAACCGCUGAUCGGCCACGGGCGCCGAACUUGCUGGCCUCCGGCAUGUGCCUGAGCGGCGGCGGAAAAACCACCUUAAUUGGGGCGGAGGGUUAGUUUUAACAGCAAAGGGCCUUUACUAAAAUGGCGAAGGCCUUCCGUCGGCGUUGUUUUAAAAUGGGAAGCCUCGACCCUGUAUUGAAACUGAGCUGUUCGAAGGCGGCGUUGUGUGCAAUUCGGAUUAAUGAAGGGGAAGGGUUUUGUGUGGAAAAACGCCUUGGAGUGUGACAUUUCUGCGAGAAUGCUUAAAUACCGAUUUCCCGCAGGAACAAUGGCGCUGUCUUCAGUGGCACAGUGGAGCAGCUCUGAAGAUGCAAAGAUACACGAAAAAACUUCCAGAACAUCUGGGAGAAUAUUUAAUGGAAAAUCGCUUGGUUAAAACCUGACACUUUUAACAGUGAGGGUCGCUGUCUGCCCAUUGAUAGAGGCCAGAUUGUCUUGGAAGUUCCAAAGUUGCAACGAUUUCUGUAAUGCCACGAGGUUUACUUGACUGUUGUGUGAAAAGCUGAUAAGAAAACCAUCCAGAAAAAAGCUCUUCGUUUUACAAACAUGAAAAUAAAACAUGUAAUUUU